ACUUAAAUAAUUUAAAAUUAAAAUAUCAGCUUGUGGGCCUGAUAAUGUAUAUUAUUACUUUAAGUU
rnacentral:tRNA from 1 species